rnacentral:tRNA from 1 species
UAGAUUGUAGCUCAGUGGUAGGGUGCUUGCCUAGCAUGUGUGAGGCACUGGGUUCAAUUCUCAGCACCACAUCUAA